UCUGUUAAAUUUACCCGAAGGCCCUUCACACUAGCAUAUAAACAUUACCUGGCAAACCAAUAUAACUGUUCCUUACAUCGCUAUAAGAUAUGUACACGUGUGCAUCUCUCUCAUACACACACACACAAACACAUACAGGGAUACAUAUAUGCAUGCAUCAUAGCGCAUCCGUGAGCCUCCAUGACGCUCCAGGUGGGCCCUCCGGAGCACCUUACCGGAAUGGUAUAUGGUGCUCGGCAGGCAGGCUCUGGUGCGCCCGCCCGUACUGGGACGUACCACCUGCAACCCACCACUGAUGCAUGCACAUGUGCACUACCUACACACAGGAAAGCUUUCCUUGACUUCCAAAAGCAAGGCCACCCAAUCAUUAGCAUUUACAUAAGAGGAUGCCAGAAAAGUAAUGGUUCAGCAAAAUUCAAGAUCACCAAGAUUUUUUUCAAGUCGUUCUAACAGAGGAGAUACCAGCCUUUGAGUCAGUUUACACUUUGAUUUUUUGGCCAGAGAAUAAAUCGCUGAGCCUACACAACUUUGGUGAAAAUUUACUAACUAGAUGAUAAGAGAUUUGUGUGCGCGCAGCCACACAAGCGACAGGAGGGAGUUUCAUCAUACGACCAUUCUCGUCCACUCCCCCUUUCUACCUCCAUGGAAACAUGCUGUGCGAUUUGCUUGCUAAAGGGACGGCUUUCAGAAAAGCAGGCUGCCUUGCAAAGCGAGUGAGGAAGCAGGGCUGUCCUCCCUUAACAAGGACAGUUGGCAUGUGUGACAGCUGCACAGUGGCCGGGGAUUAUCUCUCUGGCGCACACAGCCGCUUUUGCGUGGCAGGAAGGAAGGAAGCCAAAGGCAAUAUCUCCCGGGACUCGCGCUGCAAUUUUCGGUGUGCCCGAGAGAGGCCGCCUGAGCAAACAAAAGCCUCGGCUUUUUCUAUCAGCAGCUCGGACGAGGUUUCGCACAAAGACGCUUUUCCUUGCCGUUUGACCCAGCCACCCCCGCCUGCACUGAACAUCUUGCAAUCCUAACCGCGUACCCGCGCAGCAGCUGGUCCCAUUUGCUUCAAAGAUCGAGGACCAGAGUGUCCUAUCCCGGCCGCCUCUCGAGUGCGCUGUGGCCGGCCGGCCUGCCUACCUUCCACCGGUCGCUCACCCCUAUUUGCCUGGCGCUGCCAGCGGAACUAACAACAGCAAGCUCCCAUUUUCUGUUGUUCAGAAAGGGGAUGAGAAACCUACACAUUACCAGCAAUGCAACGUUUCAGAGUAAUCCUUAGGGACCUGAUUGUUAAUGAGGCAAGGCAGCAUCUGCUGUAUGUUGCAUAACGAUCUCUCGGUUAGUCGUUUCAAUGCAACCUUAUUUGCAUCAAAGAAGAAAGACGAAUGUUUUUCGGCUCUCCUCGCGAACCCUCCCCCACCCUGCCCUCCGAGCCCUGAUUUGCAGACUCCUCUGGCGGGAGAGCUCUCCCUAAUUACAAGAUCUUUUCCAACAGGGGGCGUGUAAACCCAGCAGCAGUUUGACUUCAAUUCUGCCUCGGCGACAUUUAAUAGAUUCUGGCAGUGUUUUCACUUACAACCCUUCGUUAGGCAGGGGAAUCGGGAAUAAUUACCCGGCAAUAAAAUAUCUCUCUUGCACAGAACCUCGUGGCGCGAGGUCUUCGCUAGGAGGCUAUUACUCUUGUCAAUAUUUUUUAGAGAAAUAUAUUUGAUUGUGGUUCCGCUGCCCCUCCUUCCUGCCCUUAUACACCUAACAAUUAGAAGAACCGGUGCGCACACAUGCACGGGCACUCCUGCUGAUUCGCACUGAUUUCUGUGGUGGCCUUUCAGCUCCGGCGGUCCUUGGAGGAAACCAAU